UUAUAAAACUGUGCCUUCACAACCCCCUUAGAGCGUUGUUAUUAAUUGUUUAAAACUUGAUCAGGAUACUUAGAUACUAUGUGCUAAAGGUGUCCCAUCUUCCCCCACCCCACUAUAAGCAAAAGUAAAUAAAACGAAACCUCUAACGCGCAGGUUUAAAAUUCUUCCUACAGUUGAAACAAACGUGAAUAUAAAAUCUGUUAUAAUUUAACGUACAUCGCUUCAGUUCUUCAAAAUUGAAUCAACGCUUGAAGGAUGAAUUUCAAGCUUCUACUUCUCAUUGUUCUUGUCUGCUGUGUCGUUGGCCAAAUCGAGGGAACUAAUCGACGUCGUUAUGGGUUUCCUGCUAGGCUUUAUGUAGGGUAUGUCGAUUGGGUCGGUCCCCUACACCGUUUCGGAAGAUUUAAUGACCGCUAUGGCCGAUAAGCUUACCAAGUCUGUGAAGACGUCUCCGUUUGUUUGAGUUCAGUUUACAGUUAAUGACAAUAAUGUUAAAUCUGCAAAUUGUUAUCGAGCUUUUAUCGCGAGAUUGUCACCUGGGUAUUAUUAAAAUACAUUUGUUAAAAUAAACAUUAUUUUCCUUA